rnacentral:tRNA from 1 species
ACUAUUUUGGCAGAUUAGUGCAAUAAAUUUAGAAUUUAUUUAUGUAAUGUUAUAUUACAAAUAGUA